rnacentral:misc_RNA from 1 species
CGCACAUUGCGCCUUCUGGUAUUCCGGGAGGCAUGCCUGUUUGAGCGUCAGCAAAACCCUUCGGCAUGACUUUCCUGUCACGUCCGGUGUUGGGCUUCGGGGGAAUGGGUGUAACAGCCCGCCCCGGCCUUAAAAUUGCUGCACGACCGUGAGUUAUUCUUUGGUCAAUAGAGUGGUGUUCUCAUAAUUCUAUAUACCUGGGGAGUGCUUGCCGGCGUUAAACCAGCGUUGCCCUAGUAGGCAACUGAAGUUUGACCUCAAAUCAGACAAGGAUACCCGCUGAACUUAA